GACAGCAGUCGCCACGGUAAUACAGAGGGUGCGAGCGUUAAUCGGAUUUACUGGGCGUAAAGCGUGCGUAGGCGGCUUCUUAAGUCGGAUGUGAAAUCCCUGAGCUUAACUUAGGAAUUGCAUUCGAUACUGGGAAGCUAGAGUAUGGGAGAGGAUGGUAGAAUUCCAGGUGUAGCGGUAAAAUGCGUAGAGAUCUGGAGGAAUACCGAUGGCGAAGGCAGCCAUCUGGCCUAAUACUGACGCUGAGGUACGAAAGCAUGGGGAGCAAACAGGAUUAGAUACCCCCGUAGUCCCUGUCUCUUAUAC
rnacentral:rRNA from 1 species